rnacentral:rRNA from 1 species
UGGGGAAUAUUGCACAAUGGGCGCAAGCCUGAUGCAGCCAUGCCGCGUGUAUGAAGAAGGCCUUCGGGUUGUAAAGUACUUUCAGCGGGGAGGAAGGGAGUAAAGUUAAUACCUUUGCUCAUUGACGUUACCCGCAGAAGAAGCACCGGCUAACUCCGUGCCAGCAGCCGCGGUAAUACGGAGGGUGCAAGCGUUAAUCGGAAUUACUGGGCGUAAAGCGCACGCAGGCGGUUUGUUAAGUCAGAUGUGAAAUCCUCGGGCUCAACCUGGGAACUGCAUCUGAAACUGGCAAGCUUGAGUCUCGUAGAGGGGGGUAGAAUUCCAGGUGUAGCGGUGAAAUGCGUAGAGAUCUGGAGGAAUACCGGUGGCGAAGGCGGCCCCCUGGACGAAGACUGACGCUCAGGUGCGAAAGCGUGGGGAGCAAACAGG